UGUAGAGCAUGAACCUACAGGAACUGGGAUGCAGAACAGCUGAACAAGGCCACAAUUUGCCGCACAAUAAGGAGUGUGUGUCUGGCUAUCAAAGCAUUAGCAGAUGUCUUCAUCUCCUUCCCUGGCCACAGAAGACUCUGUGACAUCAAAGAGGAGUUCUAUAGGAUUGCAGGUUUCCCCAAUGUCAUUGGUGCAGUGGACUGCACACACAUAAGGAUAAAAGCCCCCUCAGGUGCCCAUGAGGCCGAUUUUGUGAAUAGGAAAUCCUUUCACAGCAUUAAUGUUCAGAUGGUCUGCAAUGCUGACUGUGUGAUCAGCAAUGUUGUGGCAAAAUGGCCUGGCUCAGUCCAUGACUCCAGAAUCUUUCGGGCCUCUGAAAUCUAUCACAAGGUGAAUUCUCUGGUGUGUUGCUGGGAGACAGGGGGUAUGGCUGCCAGCCUUUUCUCCUGACACCUUUCACAGACCCCCAGGAAGCACAGCAGGCCUACAACCAUGCCCAUGCCAGGACCAGGGCCAGAGUUGAAAUGACCUUUGGCCUCCUGAAGGCACGCUUUCACUGCCUUCACAAAUUAAGGGUCAGCCCUGUUAGGGCAUGUGAUAUUACUGUGGCUUGUGCUGUCCUCCACAAUGUGGCCUGCCUGAGGAAGGAAAGGGCCCCCAGAGUGCCACCAGCCAUGGACUGGGACAAUCCGGCAAUCUUCCCUGAUGACGACAGUGGUCGGCUGCUGAGGGACCAAUAUGUGUUGAAUUAUUUUAGUUAGUAUGUGUGCUUUCAAUUUUGGUUAAAUAUGUCCUGCGGUGGCAGAGGAAUUUGGGUUUUUUUGGGUUCGUUUUUGACGAAUUUGGCCUCUUAUGAUGUUUGUGCGGUAUACUGUGUGUAAUACAAGGCUGCAGGGAGGCUACUGCAUCCAUUCAUUUGUCUGUUCAGUUGAUGUGUAUGGAUUUGUCCUGCAUUUAUUUUAGUGUGCAGACAUGCAGGGUGUGUUAUAUACAGACCUUUGAAUGUGUAUAUCAUUUUGUAUAAUAUGCUUGGAUUCUGUGCUUUCCAUCUUGUAGAGUCACUGUGACUUCAGUUUCGAAAGGAGCUGAUGGUUUACCUGCUUUGUUUUGUCCUUAUUCAAUAAAGGAACAUAAUGUUACACAUUGUGUUUUUAUAUUCA